rnacentral:piRNA from 1 species
UCCAAUUGCCUUGGUCUCUGCUCCCCACU